AUAAAACUUUGCAAAAAAAGCCUUUUCUUUUUGGACCAUUAAUGGACUCCUCAAACCACGAAUUUUACUCCCACCCUUCGCGACCGGCGGCUCCCGUCUCUCCUCCUCUCCAUCUCGCCGCCUUCCACCACUGACCACCGGCCUCCGACAUUCGGGCCCUAGACGCAGGUCACACAGCACCUUCGAGUCCUUGAACUUCUCGAGAUGCGGCAGUCGGCAGCAGUCCUUCCAGUCUACAUUUCCACCAAAGAUUCGACGGCAAAAGUAGAAGGUGAAGCCCCUUGAUUAUGAUUCCUAAACUGUACUCAAGUUCUAUCUGAAAAUUAAUUUUCUUGUUCAUUCUGUAAAUCCAAUUUAAAAAAAGUGCGUAUGUUUUAGUGAAUUGCUACUAUUUCUUGAUUUAAACUGUAGGGAAAAUGGAUUUUGAUUACUGGGCUGCUGGAGUUCAUUCAACUAAGAAGUUUUCUGCUCUCCAAGAUGCCAGACUUAAUCACUCAAGUAUGGAAAAUUGAUUAAAUUUACAGUUAUAGUUUUGGGUUCUUGAGUUUGCCUUUUUAUUUUCUUGCUCUAAAUAAUUGUUUUUCGUGAGGUUUUGCCGAUUAAUUGCUGAUUAGUUUUUUAUAGUUGAUUCAGCUUAAAAAUUAUGCUUCAAGUACUGUUUAUUUGGCUCUAUCCUGAAUUUGCAGUGGUUUUGAGUAAUUACUGAUAAUUAGGACAUAUUUUAAAGAAAACAAGAAAACUUGGGGAAUUAAAGGCACCUCGUUUCGGAAAUUUCAUAUUUUUCACACUUUAUAUCUGGUUAGAGUGUAGAAAGGCGAGAUGGAAAAGAUUUAAUGAAUAAUUAAUGUUGCUUGAAUUUAAUAGGGCAAGUUUUUGGGUUCUUGAAUUUUCUUUUUCUAGCUCCUAAUUUUCCACAUGAUUUUGUCAAUUAAUCGAUGAUUUAUUUGUUGUAACUGAGUUAGCUUUGGAAAUAUGCUUUCACUACCAUUUCUGUUUUGUGCGUUUUUUAGAAUUGGCUAUGAAAGAGCACUAUUUAUUUGGACAUGAAAUCCCGAAUUUGUAGUUGUGUUGAGGAUGAAUGGAUGAUAAAUAGGACUAAUUUAUAACUGGAAGGAAAAAAAAAAAAAGAAAGAAAGAAAGAAAGAGAGCACCAAAAUAUCAUAAAUUUCAAUUUUUCAUGCAGUUUGUGUAAAAAGGGUAGAUAAUUCCCCCNNNNNNNNNNNNNNNNNNNNNNNNNNNNNNNNCCCCCCCCAAUUGGACUCUCAAUGUUUUGUUGAAUCAUAUGGUUUUGCAAUUUUUAAUGUUUACAAUUGUUUAUGGCUGUCCUAAUGAUCAUAAAUGUUCUUAAAUUUAGAAAGCUGAUGAUGUUUUGUUUCAUCAAUGGGCCACCAUUUAAUCAUUGAUGAUGAAAUGAGAGCUUGGUUUCCUUGUCCUUUUUGUUAUGUUGAAAUCGAAGUUCCCAUGCUUUGUAUCCAUCUGCAAGAAGAGCAUUGCUUCGACUUGAAAAAUGCUGUAAGAUAGUUACCCAUUAAUGCUGCUUAUACUUUUGCUUAAAAAACUCAAAAAUUAUUAGUAAAAUAAGUAAGUUUACCCCUCUGAGUAUGCAUAUUCAGAUAAUUUAUACAUGUACAAGUAGUUCCAUGUUUGACAAAAUAGUUCCUUAUAAGUUGACAAACUGGUUCAAGUUUCUUAUUAGAAUCAACUAGUUUAUUACUCCCUCUCGUAAGCAUCAACUUUAUGUAAUUAUCCACUUGAUUAUGAGCUCGAUCAUAAUAGAUAAUUGGG
rnacentral:lncRNA from 1 species